GAUCAUGGCUCAGAUUGAACGCUGGCGGCAGGCCUAACACAUGCAAGUCGAACGGUAACAGGAAGAAGCUUGCUUCUUUGCUGACGAGUGGCGGACGGGUGAGUAAUGUCUGGGAAACUGCCUGAUGAGGGGGAUAACUACUGGAAACGGUAGCUAAUACCGCAUAACGUCGCAAGACCAAAGAGGGGGACCUUCGGGCCUCUUGCCAUCGGAUGUGCCCAGAUGGGAUUAGCUAGUAGGUGGGGUAACGGCUCACCUAGGCGACGAUCCCUAGCUGGUCUGAGAGGAUGACCAGCCACACUGGAACUGAGACACGGUCCAGACUCCUACGGGAGGCAGCAGUGGGGAAUAUUGCACAAUGGGCGCAAGCCUGAUGCAGCCAUGCCGCGUGUAUGAAGAAGGCCUUCGGGUUGUAAAGUACUUUCAGCGGGGAGGAAGGGAGUAAAGUUAAUACCCUUGCUCAUUGACGUUACCCGCAGAAGAAGCACCGGCUAACUCCGUG
rnacentral:rRNA from 1 species